GCGCCCGUAGCUCAGCUUGGAUAGAGCGCUGUCCUCCGGAGGCAGAGGUCUCAGGUUCGAAUCCUGUCGGGCGUACCA
rnacentral:tRNA from 1 species